UACGUAGGAGGCAAGCGUUGUCCGGAAUUACUGGGCGUAAAGCGCGUGUAGGUGGUGGGACAAGUCUGCUGUGAAAGCGCCUGGCUUAACCGGGCGAGGUCGGCGGAAACUGUCCGACUCGAGGACGGUAGAGGGGGUGGAAUUCCCGGUGUAGUGGUGAAAUGCGUAGAUAUCAAGAGGAACACCAGUGGCGAAGGCGAGUCUCUGGACAACUCCUGACACUGAGGCACGAAAGCUAGGGGAGCAAACAGG
rnacentral:rRNA from 1 species